rnacentral:snRNA from 1 species
AGCUUUGCGCAGUGGCAGUAUCGUAGCCAAUGAGGUUUAUCCGAGGCGCGAUUAUUGCUAAUUGAAAUAAACUCUGUUAUACUAAGAAUAUAUUUUUUUCUUAGGCAACAGAGAUUAUGCCAAGGAUGAUCCAUUGGAGUUUAAGUCCCACCAGUGGUUUGGAGCAUCUGUGAGAUCAAAACAAGACAAAAUUUUGGUAAGUCUUUUGGAU